UUUUUUGAUAUUUUUAAAAAAAUGACUACUUUGUUAUAGCUAGCGUGACUCUCGUUGUGUGUUUGCGAUAUUAGGCUACGUCAAGAUUUCUCACGUUACCAUACCAAUGGCUACUUCUAUAUGCUAUGCCUAUCGGUCUUUUGCAUUGCUCAGUGAAUAACAAUAGGCGCCAAUGUUGUUAUGGUUACUAGCACAGUUGUUGAGAGCAAACAAAGAUUUCAUUUGCAUUGUGUAGUAUUAUUGUAGCGUGACGUUUAAACACGUGCGUGCACUUUGUUUAAUUUCUAUGGAAGUUUCAGCGAAACACAGUAGCGGAGAAUUUGAGAGAAGAGAGUGACGGUAAUAAUAGCAGUCGACGUGCUGAAAGUGUGCUCGAUAUUUUUGUGCGCGCAACAAGGGUAGCUAUUUGUAAAAAUAUUCCAAGCUGGUAUCUAUAUGUAUGAUAAUAUACAUAAAUAAGUAUGUCGAGUGCAGUCGUGCGUACAGAAUUUGGCGAGAGACAUUGGGAAAAAAUAUAUUUAAAAAAUCGCGUCAGGAGCUGACCAAAAGUUCGGCUUUUGUGUAAAAACAGCGUUGUUAGUCUUCCUGUCCACGACGCUUCCCUUACCAGGCAACAGCAUUGGCGAUUCAAGAGCGAAGGAAGCGUGGUACCGAAACCUCCAAAGAAAGUCGUGUUGUAUUAACAUAAAAUUAUUUACAAGUCACAUUAAGGCGCGUUUCGUGAGCACGUCCGUACGCGGUAGUUAAUGGUACCUAACUAAACCUAUGUAAAUCCUCCUUGACAGAAUGGAUUACAGCCAGCAUAUAAGACCAGGGAUACAGUCUGUCCGCGACAUCAGCUUCGCAUUCAAGUGACUCCUUAACGUUAUAACCCAUAAGUAGAUGGCCCCUCAGAAAUACAGACCUCGCAGUCGGUCCAUAUCGAUGAAAGCAUCCAAGAAAAUCACACAUAUACCCAGUGUACAUACAAAAUUCGACCACUACCUUCUGCGCCUUUACUUUCCUUUGUCUCUUACCUUUCAAGAGCCUACAUCUUAAACCCGUAAAAUGUUCCCGACUUAAACCCGCAGUGGUUAGUCAGUGCUAACACUUUUAAGGUGAUAACGCACUACCUCAAACUUUAACAUUCUUUUAAGCACUUAAAAUUACCCGUAAGGGUAUAUGGAAAUUUCAAGGGCGCGAUAGGCACGCAUUUCGUUGAACAGUAAGAUAGCACUGGGAAACUGGUUGUGCAUCCACUCGUUAUACAUUCCUUUUAUAGGCAGUACCUCAGAGCCCGUAGACCUUAUUGGGUUAAGCUGAGACAUUGAAAGAAUUAAAUUCGAAUUCUAAUCUUGGUCUCGAGAAACUUGAUCGUUAGUUAAGAAUAUCAUUACCGAAUUACAGCCUACAGAGAAACGCUAUCCUUUGAAAAUUAUGCUUAAUUCUAGAAAGACUUUGUUUCGCAGGAAUUCAUUCGACAAGGAAGUCACGUUAUAAAAAUGAUCAGGCAUUUAGGAAACGAAAAAAAAUGUUAUCCUAUUUUCAGUUUCUAUCUCGAAUCUAAUCUCUAUCUUUAAAUGACUCAGUUUUACGUUUAAAUUAUAUAGUUAAGACGUCAACAAAAUUUCUGUCUUUCACCUACGUGUCGACGACCUGUUGCAUGACGCAAGAAUCGACGGCGAAUCGAAUGCCUAAGGAAUAGAUCCCAAAACUGUUGUAAAAGAAAGUUUUAAUGAAUGUUCCAAUUAUUUUUAAUAAUUGCGAUACUAUGAACACUGUAUUAUUAAAUGUAAAAGAAAGGAAACUUUUUGAUCGUUUUAUGUAUAUGUCUAGUGUUACUUAUAUAUUUUCAAAAGUCAAUAUGUAUAUUCCACUGUAUAUACUAAACGCUUCGGUCGUCGUCGGGUAAAAUCGGAAGAUUUCGGGACGCAACGGGAGAAGGAAGUGUUGGAGGUGUCAAUGGCGGACGUGACGUCAUAAAUAAACGACAUAACCAAUAGUUA